GACGAACGCUGGCGGCGCGCCUAACACAUGCAAGUCGAACGAGCGAGAGAGAGCUUGCUUUCUCGAGCGAGUGGCGAACGGGUGAGUAACGCGUGAGGAACCUGCCUCAAAGAGGGGGACAACAGUUGGAAACGACUGCUAAUACCGCAUAAGCCCACGGCUCGGCCUCGAGCCGGGGGAAAAGGAGCAAUCUGCUUUGAGAUGGCCUCGCGUCCGAUUCGCUAGUUGGUGAGGUAACGGCCCACCAAUGCGACGACCGGUAGCCGGACUGAGAGGUUGAACGGCGACAUUGGCGCUGAGACACGGCCGAGAAUCCUACGGGAGGCAGCAGUGGGGAAUAUUGCAAAAUGGGGGAAGCCCUGAUGCAGCGACGCCGCGUGGAGGAAGAAGGUCUUCGGAUUGUAAACUCCUGUUGUUGGGGAAGAUAAUGACGGUACCCAACAAGGAAGUGACGGCUAACUACGUG
rnacentral:rRNA from 1 species